AUGUCAGUACUAGCGUAGGACAUGGGCUGGUGUCCAAGGGCCCGUGGGACAUCUCGUGGCGCAGCGCAGGGACCGUUCUUGUGGAUGGAGAGGAGAAUCCAGAAAAGCCAAAUCUAAGAGGUCCGAUGAGCAUGAACCGCAAAAAGAUGAUGCCUCUUGCCAUUAAACAUGGCUCCAUUAGCAGAAGUGCUGCACACAGAAAACAAGGACCUGGAGAGAAAACAGGGUCCAAAUGCAUCUCCCCAUCCUGUUGGGAUGGCACCACUUUUCCUUUCUGUGUCACUACAAAUCAUUUACAAAGUCACAGAAGAGCACUAAUUUCAGGUGAAUGAGGUUGUGUUAGCUCAUUAGCAUCAACAGUGGCAAACGCCGACUUUUCCUCUUUCUUCACGGCUCACAUGAUUGACUUUGGCAUUCCUUCUUCCACAAGCACAACGCUGUUCAUGGGCAGAGUCCUUCCUCGGUUGGACAGAGUUCCUUCUCUUGUUUUGACCCAGCACUGGCACUAGAACAAACUGCUUCAUGUUAACAAUAUAUUGCAGACAUCCCCCAGAUACAGAAGGAAGAAUAAGUUAGAGUUUCUUCUGCCUCGGGAAGCAGCACUGGUGAUUGAAUUCUGACAGACAAACUUGGCAUAUGGCCACUGAGGAUGGAAGAGGCAGAAAGAGAACAGAUUUUUCAUUUCCAGAUGACCUGAAGCAGAACAUAAAGCCUUGUAGCUAUAAGGGGGCUUCUCUGAAUUCAGCUGACCUGGAACUGUGGGGGACAAUCACCAGGAAACCCCAUGAUGUCUUUUUAGCAUCAUUUCAAACUCUGACAUGAUCAAGCUUCCCAGGCAUAACGAAUUCCCCUGGAUCAGUGGAGCUGGGGGAGCUCCUCAUCCACCAUGAACCCAAAGCAAACCCAAAGAACUUGGCACAUUGCCCCAACCAAACGUGCCCACCCCAGUGCAGAGCAUGCACAGCCAUGUUGCCAUUCCUGCUGGACCAGCAGAAGAGAAGAUGCCAGACCGUAACUUCAUGACUCUAUGUUUUCUUCUAGUUUAGAAAUGCUUUUCCCAUUUUGCAUAUUUUCAGUGUUUCCCCCAUUGCCACCUUGCAAUUUGUCUUUCGGUUAUACAGCCUCCCCUGACACACUUCUCUUGGAGGGUGUGCACACUCAUGGUCCAGCUUGCAAUCCAUGCCGUGGGCAUGGCACCUCCUGGGGAUGGAAAUCCCAGCCAGGGAGCUGAAAUACCAAAGGAGAUUUUAACUGCAUAAGUAGAGUGAUAUUUUUGAGCUUGUUGUCUGAAUUUUACCAUUUUAUGUCAUUCUUUGAAAUGAAAAAAUAUUCUGACCACCAAGUAGAGGAGUCAGGUUUGCAUUCAGACCCUCAAGCCUGAACUUGCAGGACCCCGGUGACAAGUCACCCCUCUCACAUCCACACAGCAGCAACUCUGUAAUACCUGCAUGGGAACAGAUCAGAACAAACCCAGCUUUGGCUGCAUCUGCUAACAAGGAGGAAAUUUUUUUUUUUUUCCCUCUCUUGCAUCACACUCAAAAGCCUGGAGCAAAGGAGCAUUUGCCUUGUCACAGAGUGCUCUGCACAUGAUGCUCCUCUUCGACCAGCUGCUCCCUUGCCAUCACCACCCUCAGAAAGAAAGCUCCUAGGAAGGGAUGACAAAAAGCUGUGACUUCAAAAGAAAAUGCAAGACUUGCAAGAAAGCUCGCAGAGCCCACAGCCAUGUCCUGCAUCUCACGGUACUUCUGCCAGUGGGAAGAAGAAGGAGCCGCUGGCAAAAAAAAAAAAAAAUAUAGCAAAAGAUGGGGGCAAUAAUGUAAACUUAAAGAGAGUAGAUGCAGACUAGAUACAAGGAAGACAUUUUUUAAG